GAUGCUGCAUAAUAUUUCUCCAAGGAAAUCGCACAUGUGUGUGAGAAGAUGAACCCAAACUGUUUUUGGACAAAACAAAUUAAAGCUUUGCAUCUGCCGCAAGCAUAGGAGCCGCCUUUCAUUUCAUCCUUCUUUCCCACUACCUCAGAUAUCUGUUUUAAGCAUCCCAUCCUCACCCACCAGAAUGUGAAGAUCCAGGAAGUCCAGCUCUCUUGCAG